CAGGGCAGGUAGGAUUGGCCACAAUUGGCCUCCCUUCUCUUUCACCCUCUGAAGCCAGUUUCGCUGGGUGCUGGGACACGGCACCUUCAGAACCACAAGGUCUGGCCUGGGCUACAGAGCCACUGGAAACGCUGGGUUCUGUCUUAGGGCGGCACCAGGCUGGGACAUCUCUCAACGGGCACAGACUCCCUGACCCUCUGUUGUAGAUCACUUUCUCCUUCGGCAAAAUGUAGAGCUUUGUGUAAAAGCUAAUCAAGAAAAGUCCUAUGUGUCCGUUUGGUGACCCAAAGAUGGGAUCAAUGGGAAUCUUCCCAUCUAGGUUCACGUCCUUUCAGAAAUUAUUUUCCCUGUUAACCAUCUUGUUGGCCUUCUCUGGCCUGUUGAUAAUGCGCCCCCUUGUGGACUUUCCAGAACAUUCCAUGUGGAAAUUGGGUCCUGCCCCUGACUUCCGUCCUUGACUCCUCAGAAUAAAACCAGAAAGAAGAGGGUGAAGGUGGGUGUCCUCGCACUAAAGGCUUAGGUAGGGCAGAGUGGGAGGGAAAGUGGGUUGCCUGUAUGGUGUGACAAAGGAUCAGGGUACAACUGAUGGUCCCCAUACUCCUUUUAGUCCAUGUCUUGUGUUUUGAAAAGGAUUCAAAGAUCAUAAAGAGAAGGAACCAUUACUUGGUUGCCAUUUAAUCAUGAUCCCGAAUACCUCCUGCAUGCUGGACACCGUGCUGUGUACCGAAACAUACACCCUUGUCCGAGAGACACAAACAGUGUAUUGGAAAACGCCAUGGCGGGUGUGCAGAGGACGGUCUCUAUCUGUGAUGGCUGACACUGUUUGCUGUCUCCCAGACACCAUUUAAAACAUGCUGUGCAUCGUAACCCAAUUAAGUUAUUUAACCUCCCUGUGCUUAAAUAGACCAUCGUCCGCAGCCCGUAGACUUACCAAAACCAACAAUUAACAGCUUAGGUUUUAGAGCAGUGCCUGGCACCGAGCACUCCAGAAGCAUGUGCUGCAAUAGGAAAACUGAAACAAGAUUCAGGAGAACCCUAUGGGACAAAGCACUUUCUUCCCUUUAUUUUACAGAUGGGAAAACUAAGGCACAGGGAGCAUAGUCCCUCAGUAAGUGGCAGAGACAGGAUGCCAACGUGAACAGCGUAGAUCUGUUACACUGGUCUCUUAACCCCUCCAUCACGCUGCUUCCGCUCCAACAUACCCAUCCUUGUACCAGAAACAAUGUCCUCUGCACCUAGAAGAAUGCCUGGUGCCUAAUAGCUGCUCAAGGAUAUAUGCUGAAUAAAGGCACAGAUGAACCAUAGGAAGAGGCACAUCUUGCACGACAGAAGAAGAGGAACCUGAUUCACUGGUUACAUUUUGGAGGCUUUUCCAGAGUAUCUGAAUGAGGACAUGAUGUCUCAUUACUUCCAAUCCAAGUCACAACCUAGAAUUGAGCUGGGAAUAUAGUCCCCAGGCCAGCUGCUAAAGAGCAAAAUGUCA